GGCGAACGUUGGCGGUGAUGGUGGGACACGGCUCAGCUGGAGGGAGAAGAAGUUGCAAAGCCGUAAAUUCACUUGGGAGCGGUGAGGAAGGACUGUGAAGAUGAACCAUCCGUACAUUCUUGUGCCGUCUUGCGCCACGAGCUCGGCCCAGCAGUCGGUAGGUGCCAGCUUUACGCGGGCAUCCCCACGGAGGCAACGGUGGCCUCGCCGCACGCCGACCCACCGCCCUUCAGAAAACUCCGGUAUUUUAUACAUUUGCCAAGCAACGGCUCUCGACGCUUGCGGCCACGAGUGCAAAACACGCCUCGAUUGCAUCAGAAGCAGCCCAGGACGCACGUGCCUGCCGGCCAGGCGCGCUGCACAUGCCGUAACCAUCCCUUCUGUUGGUUCACGGGCUUUGCGCACGCGGCAAAUUACCCUCAUCCAUCGGUCCCAUCCACUGUGCUCUAACCAACGGCAAGACUUUUGCAAGGUAAGCAAAAUUAUGUGCGGUGCCUGGUAUUCCUCCAUUAUUGCAUGUACCACCUCCCCUAACGUUGCUGAACCUCCUUAGCCCCACGGUCAGCAUUUCAAACAACAGAUGAUAAACUCCCUGUUCCCUGUGCUGACUGCGUUUUUUAGUUAUCUACUUCUUACUCAGUGUUCAUCCACGGACCAAAAUUCCAGCUUUUAACCCUUCCGUACACAGGUGGAAAGAAAACAGGGGGUUGCAAAAAAUAAGGGGGUUUGCAGAAAAUACAGGAGUUUGCAAGAAACGGGGCUUGUAGUGAGACGGGGAACCAAAAGAACCGUAGUAGAUACAGUAGAUAUAUGAAUGUAGAUAGGCAUUGUUUAAUAAUUAUCUAGCUUAUAAUGAAGUUAAGGAAGUUUCAAUAGAGGUAGACAUGGCCCAAGGGGAUGAGAAGUGGUGCUUAACGUUUGAGGCUGACUGGGACAGGAGAUAGUCCCUGAGAAGGAGCAGCAGUGACUCCAAGAACCAGCCACGACUGACCUGGUGAUUUGGACAAAUGCCAAGGGACAACUGAGUGUGCGCAGGGACAGAAAGUUAAGAGUUCACCGUGAAGAAGACAUACAGCCUUCAUCUUCACGACCACCAGACGACCACCAUAAGGAGGCACUGCCCAAGGGCAGUUCAGAGGAGACUAUGGAAAUGACCUCUCGGAGCUAAUUUUAAUACGAAGCGGGGAUAGGUAAUGCCUACGUAUAGGCGUAUUGCGAAACGCCAUGUAUACGUAACACUCGACCGUAUAAACUCGAAGCGAACUCCCGCGUCGGCGCACGACUUUGGUGGGACUCCCCGCCGUGCUGCCCGGCGCUGAACGAA